CAGUAGCCGCGGUAAUACGUAGGGUGCAAGCGUUAAUCGGAAUUACUGGGCGUAAAGCGUGCGCAGGCGGUUUUGUAAGACAGAGGUGAAAUCCCCGGGCUCAACCUGGGAACUGCCUUUGUGACUGCAAGGCUAGAGUACGGCAGAGGGGGAUGGAAUUCCGCGUGUAGCAGUGAAAUGCGUAGAUAUGCGGAGGAACACCGAUGGCGAAGGCAAUCCCCUGGGCCUGUACUGACGCUCAUGCACGAAAGCGUGGGGAGCAAACAGGAUUAGAUACCCCGGUAGUCCCUGUCUCUUAUAC
rnacentral:rRNA from 1 species